GUUUGAUCCAGAAGUGUUGAGGUAUCUACAACCCGGUCACAGCAGGUGGAAGCGGCAAAUAGGCUCUCCGUGUACUGCCAACAUUCAGUGUCCCAGCGAAUCCUGCUGCUUGGACAGGGGCCUCGGCUAUCCCACUUGCCGACCACUUGCAAGAGUUGGCCAGGGGUGCAGCCGCCAUCACAACCAUCGAGUCUUUUAUGGUUUCUGUCCCUGUGAACCUCAUGGACGCUGUCACCCAAUGAGACGCAUUUGUGAGAGAAUAAAUUAGUGUUCGGCCUUGACGCUGGUACUUGUGG